GACGAACGCUGGCGGCGUGCCUAAUACAUGCAAGUUGAGCGCUGAAGCUUGGUACUUGUAUCAACUGGAUGAGUAGCGAACGGGUUAGUAACGCGUUGGGAAUCUCCUUUUGAGCGGGGGUCACCCUAUGGAAACGACUGCUAAUACCGCAUAAAAACUCUAAACAAACGUUUUAAGUUCGUAAUAUGCAAUUGCAUCUCUUAACGAUGUUCCCUCGUUGUAUUAGUUAGUUGGUGAGGUAAAGGCUCACAAAGGCGAUGAUACAUAAUCGGCCUGAGACGGUGACAGGCCAGAUUGGGACGGAGAGAGGGCCCAAACACCUACGGAAGGCGGCAGUAGGGAGACGUCGACAAGGGGCGAAAGUCGGGCAGAGCAACGCAGCGUGGGUGAAGAAGGUUUUCGGAGCGUAGAGCUCUGUUAGUAGAGAAGAGCGUUGGUGAGAGUGGAAAGCGAAUCAAGUGACGGUAACAACCCAGAAAGGGACGGCUAACUACGUG
rnacentral:rRNA from 1 species